UCCGAAAUGGCAUCUCAUGCAGUAACAAUGUAUGCAUUUAGAUAAAAACCUUGUGUUCUUUGUGAAAAUUGUUGAUUUUUGCAGAAAACUUAAUAAGUUUUAAAACAAUCAUAUUUCCAUUGUGUUCAUAUUCUAUAGUUGGUUUUAGUUGCUUAUAUAAUUUCAUCCUCUUCUUUUUGUGCCUGAUUAUGUGACAUUAACAUGAGAAUGAUUGACCCAAAUAUUUCCAUCCAGUGAACUAUCUCGGUCAACUCCCUAGUCCCUACAAGCAUUUGAAGCAAGAUAUUUAGCACUUAGUAGAUGAAAUACUGGACAGUAGAAUAGUUCCAGAGUUCUGAAAAGUGCCUAUAAAUUUAUGCAUGCAAGGCCACAACACGUGUGUAUAUUUGGAGGGAUAUAAGAAGUUUUUUUUUUCAUUUUGAACAAAUUAAAAUUUAGUUCAGGUCCUUUAUAUAGAAUUUCAUGAAUAGUGACCGGUCCAUGCUCACACCAGUAUCCUACUUGAAAAUAUUCUCAAAUUAUGUGUUGAUUGUGUAGUUGCAAAUCAUUGUUCCUUUUGUAGAUUAUUGUAUCGUUUAUAUUGUCGAUAAUAGGCAACGGAAAGUUUGGCGGUGGACUCGAUAGUAUUAAUGUACCAAGAAGUAUGAUGCAAUUGAAAAUUAUCCAGCAAAUAAUUCAUAAGAUAUUGAAACCAAGUCAUUGUUCUGGCACAUGGAUAGCUAACUUUCACACACCCCUGUCCAUGGCUAAAUCUUUGGUGAUAUUCCAGUCCUUUAUAUCUCCGAUCUCUCUUUACGGACCCCUUCCAUGUCAAGUUUGGUCUACCCUGAUCUCUCAUGACAUCAUCAGCAUGCCUUAACCAUCCGCUAUGCACUGGCGCUUCUGGAGGCCUGCGCUAUAUAUGCCCAAACCAUCUCAGGCACGGUGCCACCCCAACUCUAUCAAGUAUAUCAUCAUUUUGAACCCGAAUCUUCUUGUGUGGCCACAUAUCAAUGUUAACAUGCGCAUCCCUGCUACACCUAGCUGUUGGACAUGCCGCCUUUUAGUUGGCCACUAUUCAACGCUAGACAACCAUCGCAGGUUGAACCGCCAUCCUAUAAACCUGCCUUUUAACUUGUGUGGCUCUCUUAUCACAGAGAACUCCAGAAGCUUGGCACCACUUCAUACUUACUUACUUAUGAAGCCUGUUAUCCCAAACAAGUUGGGGUAGGCUAGAUAUGAAACCCUUUCACGAGGACUUCCCAGGAGGUCACCCAUCCUAGUACUACUCUCGCCCAAAUGGGUUUCAUACCCAAAAGACUGGUUAGUUUUUACGUUGGCUCGCCAAGCCCCUAUCACAACCCUUAGAUAUGAAACCCUUUCACGAGGACUUCCCAGGAGGUCACCCAUCCUAGUACUACUCUCGCUCAAAUGGGUUUCAUACCUAUGGGACUGGCUAGUUUUUACGUUGGCUCGCCAAGCCUAUCACAACCCUCCUCCUUUACCCGGGCUUGGGACCGGCUAUGCCUAGAAGGCAUAGGCGGAGUUUGGCACCACUUCAUCCAUCCAGCUUUUAUUUGAUGGCUCACAUCUUCAUUAAUAUCACCAUCCUUCUACAACCUUGACCCCAAAUAUUGAAAUGUGUCCUUCCGAGGUACCACGUGCCCGUUCAGGCUAACUUCCUCCUGCUCGUGCCUAGUAGAACUGAAAUCGCACCUCAUGUAGUCAAUUUUACGUCUACUAAGCCUACAACUUUGUGAUUUUGAAGUCUGUCUCCACAUCUCUAACUUUCUAUUAACCCUCGUCCGGCUAUUUCUGACUAGCACCACAUCAUUCGCAAAGAGCAUUACACCAUGGGAUAUCUCCUGAUAUUAUCCCUUCUGACCUCAUCCAUCACCAAAGCAAAAGGAUAAGGGCUUAAAGCUGACCCUUGGUGCCGUCUUAUUCUAAUUGAAAGUCAUCAGUGUCCCCAUCACUUGUUCAAACACUUGUCACAACAUUAUCGUACAUUUACUUGAUGAGGGUAAUGUACUUUGUUGGGACUUUGUGUUUCUCCAAGACCCAUCAUAUGACAUUCUGCAGUAUCUUAUCGCAGGUCUUCUCCAAGUCAAUGAACACCAUAUACAGGUCCUUCUUCUGCUCCUUGUAUCUCUCCAUAAGUUGUCGAACCAAGAAAAUGGCUUCCAGGAUCGACCUCCUAGGCAUGAAACCAUAAUGUUUUUUGGUCACGCUUGUCAAUCUUCUUAAGCAAUGCUCAAUGACUCUCCCAUAGCUUCCUUGUAUGGCUUCAUCAGCUUAAUUCUGUUAGUUAUAUUGAUGAUGGCCUUUGGCCUUUUGUAUUCUAGCUUCCUGGCAUUCUCUUGUACUUGUAUAUAUGAUGGCUUUGGCCUCCUAAUAAUAUCAAGUUGCAUAUUCCUGACAUGGUAUCAGAGCCUAGGUUCUUUUUUUCCGCACGUUUGCAACUCGUGCUGAAUCAAUCGGCGGCCAUCUCAUCCCCAACUUCGGUUGCCACCGCCCUUCGGUCGCUGAUCUGGUAGUCGCCGUUCUCAGGACUGUCCUCGAGUGGGUGUGCGGGGCGCUGCCUUCUCAGGCCCCUGCUGGUCCAGAUCGACGAAGGGCUCGCCUCCCCGUCUAGAUCGAAGAGGCUGGGUCUGGCAGCUUGUAUGCUUGAUCGCUGCUCCCUCCUGGCGCCGCAGCUCCUCCACCGGCUGCACCUCCUGCCGCCGCCCUGCUAGCUCCGGCCGCCGUUUGCUCUUCGGGCCGGCCACUGAAGUCCGGCGCGGAUCCGCCUCAACUACAAGCUUCGGUCGCAGUGCUCCUCCGUCCUUCAACCCCACUGCCUCUGCCGUGGAUCCCUGGCUUCUGCCGUCGUCGCUGAUCUUCUUGCCGGCUGUCGCACCAGCUCCGCCAUUUCCGCUACCUUCCGUGCGCCGCCGCCAUCUCGCGUUGGUCUGCUGUCGCGGAGGCUGAAUUGCGUUGUGUGGUUUGGCCUUUCCGCGAAGCAGGCUGGCUUGGCCCUUGGCUGAUUAGAAUUGGCCCGUUUCUUUCAAUAAAAAAAUUUAAUAAAAAGAAAAGAAAGGAGUACUAUGUCAUUGUCUUCAUCCGCUGGUUGUCCUUCGGUCAUCAGCUCACAGAGGCAGCUUCCAUCUUUGCUCGGUGCCCCUCCUCGGGCGUUGUUGUCUGUUACUCCGAAUUUCUCGGAUGGCAGUGGCCGCUUCGCAUCGACUCCUCUUAUGGCUUCCGGACACGGUUGUAGCCGCUCUUCAUCGACUUCCUUUGCGGCCUUCGCACGGUAUGGCGCCUGCUCUACGUCUUUUCUCGCGGCUUCCGCAUGCGGUGGUGGUCGCUCGAAGCCGACUCCUCCCGCGGCUUCCGCGCGCGGUGGUGGUCGCUCUACGUCGACUCCUCCCGCGGCUUCCGUGCGCGAUGGUGGUCGCUUUACGUCGACUCCUCCCGCCGCUUCCGCGCGCGGUGGUGGUCGCUCUACGUUGACACCUCUCGCGGCUUCCGCGCGCGGUGACCGCUCUACGCCGACUCUCGCGGCUUCCACGCACGACGGUGAUCGCUCUAUGUCGGCUCUCCCAGUGGCUUCCACAUCCGGCUCUACGUCGACUCGCUAUUCUCGGUUGACUCUACACACGGCUUCCACGGGUGGUGGAGUCUGCUUAUUAUCGACAGGUGUUUCUACCUCGACCCCUUCCGCCAUGUCCCUGUCUCCUCGUGAGAUUGCGCAGCUGCAGUCUCUGCUUGCUACUUGGGAUUCCUCACCGACAAGUUCUGCAGGUUCCGUGACUGACUCUUCUGGCAAUAAGAAACCACCUUCUACUCAUUCAGGUACAUCCCCAUGGAUUCUUGAUACUGGAGCAUCUUUUCAUAUGACCUACGAUUCUUCCACUUUGACCUCCGUUCGACCUGUUGAGUCUCAUCUUCGUGUUCUUACGGCUGAUGGCACUCCCCUUCCUGUAGCUAGUCGAGGCACUCUUAGCACUUCUUCAUUUCAUGUUCCCUCUGUCGCUCAUGUUCCUCGACUUACCAUGCAGCUCAUAUCUGGUGGUCAGAUUGUUGAUUCUAAUUGUAGGGUCAUCCUCGACUUUGAUUCGUGUUCUGUCCAGGAUCGUCGCACGGGUGCUCUACUUGGUGCUGGCCCUCGACGCUCUGAUGGUCUCUGGGAGCUUGACUGGCUACGUCUUCCUUUCGCUGCCCCCGCUGCCAGUCUCGUAACCCCUGUUGCUGCAUCUACCAGCUCUUUUCAGUAGUGGCAUCAUCGUCUUGGCCAUUUAUGUGGUUCUCGUCUCUCGUCUUUGGUUCAUCGCGGUGUUCUGGGGCCUGUCUCCGGUAACGCUUCGUUGGAUUGUCUGGGUUGUAUAGGCUAGGUAAGCAGAUUCAGCUACCCUAUCCUCACAGUGAGUCGGUGUCUGAGCGCCCUUUUGACCUUGUUCACUCUGAUGUUUGGGGUCCGGCUCCCUUUGCUUCAAAAGGGGGUCAUCGCUACUAUAUUAUCUUUAUAGAUGAUUUUUCGCGUUUCACUUGGAUCUAUUUCAUGUCUUCUCGUAGUGAGGUCUUAUCUAUAUACAAAAAAUUUGCUGUCAUGGUUCAAACCCAGUUUUCCACUCCUAUUCGUGUUUUUCGCGCAGAUUCAGCUGGUGAGUAUAUCUCACAUGCGUUGCGAGGAUUCCUUGCUGAGCAAGGUACUCUUCCUCAGUUCUCUUGCCCUGGUGCUCAUGCUCAGAAUGGUGUGGCUGAGCGCAAGCAUCGUCACCUUCUUGAGACGGCACGUGCGAUGAUGAUCGCCGCCUCACUUCUAGGCUGACGCUGUUACCACUUCCACAUAUCUUAUUAACAUUCAGCCAUCUGCUGCUCUACAGGGUGGCAUUCCUCUCGAGUGUCUUUCAGGUCGCUCUCCUGAUUAUUCGGUGCUUCGCUUGUUUGGUUGCGUUUGCUAUGUUUUGCUUGCCCCUCGUGAACGCACCAAACUGACCGCUCAGUCUGUUGAGUGUGUCUUUCUCGGAUACAGUGAUGAGCAUAAGGGCUAUCAGUGUUGGGAUCCCAUCGGUCGUCGGAUGCGUAUUUCUCGGGAUGUGACCUUUGAUGAGUCUCGUCCCUUCUACCCGCGUCCAUCCUCCUCGUCCUUUUCCACAGAGGAUAUCUCUUUUCUUACAUUUCUAGAUACACCUCCCCCUGUGCCCAGUAUUCCUACUCCUCGUCCCGCUGUUGCAGAUUCGACACCGUCCUCUCCUACGGUUUCUUCUCCUCCCUCAUCACAUGACUCUCCACCUUCAUCAUCGACACCUUCACCUUCUCCACCUUCAUUUGCGAUACCUUCCCCUUCUCCACCUUUAUCGAUACAUUCCCCGUCUCCAUCUUCAGUGAUUCCACCUCUUCCCUCCUUUCCUUUUCAUUAUACUCGACGUCCACGUACUGUGGACAAGUCUACUGAUGUGCCCUCUACUUCUAGUGUGUCGUCUUCCUCCUCUCAGCCGACUUAUGGUCUUCGUUCUCGGCCUUGUCUGCCCCCUGAUCGAUAUUCUCCUUCUCGCUAUGGUCUUUCGACCGUUCUUGAGCCGACUUCUUAUCGAGAUGCUAUUGUGCAUCCUGAAUGGCAGUUUGCCAUGGCAGAGGAGAUUGCUGCUCUUGAGCGCACCGGCACAUGGGAUCUGGUUUCUCUUCCUCCCGGUGUUCGUCCCAUCACUUGUAAGUGGGUCUAUAAGAUAAAGACUCGCUCUGAUGGUUCUCUUGAGCGUUAUAAAGCUCGUCUUGUGGCUUUCAACAACAGCAUGGUCGCGAUUACGAUGAGACUUUUGCUCCCGUGGCCCAUAUGACCACUGUCCGUACACUUCUUGCCGUGGCCUCUGUUCGCCAUUGGUCCGUGUCUCAGCUUGAUGUGAAGAAUGCCUUUCUAAAUGGUGAGUUGCGCGAGGAGGUUUAUAUGCAACCGCCACCUGGGUAUUCUGUUCCUGAUGGCAUGGUUUGUCGUCUUCGCCGCUCUCUUUAUGGCCUUAAGCAAGCCCCCCGUGCCUGGUUUGAGCGCUUCGCUUCUGUGGUGACUGCCGCUGGUUUUUUGCCCAAUGCUCAUGAUCCAACAUUGUUUGUCCACCUUUCUGCUCAUGGUAGGACUCUUCUUCUUCUAUAUGUUGAUGACAUGAUCAUCACUGGCGACGAUUCUGAGUACAUUGCCUUUGUCAAGGCCCGCCUCAGUGAGCAGUUCCUUAUGUCUGAUCUUGGUCCUCUUCGUUACUUUCUUGGGAUUGAGGUUUCAUCCACCUCUGAUGGCUUUUAUAUUUUCCAAGAAAAGUAUAUCCAAGAUCUUCUUACUCGUGCGGCUCUUAGUGAUGAGCGCACUGUUGAGACUCUUAUGGAGCUCAAUCUUCACCUUCAUGCUUCUGAUGGCGAGCCCUUGUCUGAUCCGACACAUUAUCGUCAUCUUGUUGGGAGUCUUGUCUAUCUUGCUGUCACACGUCCGGAUAUCUCGUAUCUUGUCCAUAUUCUGAGUCAGUUUGUUUCUGCUCCCACUUCUGUUCACUAUAGUCACCUUCUUCGUGUUCUAUGCUAUCUUCGUGGCACGAUCUCUUGUCGUCUCUUUUUUCCCCAUUCCAGCUCGUUACAGCUCCGGGCCUAUUCGGAUGCUACGUGGGCUAGUGAUCCUUUGGACCGCCGUUCACUUUCUGCUUACUGUGUUUUCCUUGGUGGUUCUCUUAUUGCCUGGAAGACGAAGAAACAGACUGCAGUUUCUCGUUCGAGUGCAGAGGCCGAGUUACGAGCUAUGGCUCUUCUGACGACAGAGGUGACUUGGUUACGAUGGUUACUAGAGGAUUUUUGUGUUUCUGUUACUACACCUACCACCCUCUUGUCAGACAGUACAGGUGCUAUCAGUAUUGCGCGGGACCCGGUGAAGCAUGAGCUUACCAAGCAUAUUGGUGUGGAUGCCUUUUUUGUGCGCGCUGCUGUGCAGGAUCAUGUUAUUGGUCUUCAACAUGUGCCUUCCGAGUUACAGCUAGCAGACUUCUUCACGAAGGCCCAGACUAGAGCGCAGCAUGGAUUUCAUCUCUCCAAACUCAGUGUUGUGGAUCCACCAUGAGUUUGAGGGAGGGGGGGGGGGGGGUGUUAGAGUUAUAUUGAUGAUGGCCUUUGGCCUUUUGUAUUCUAGCUUCUUGGCAUUCUCUUGUACUUGUAUAUAUGAUGACUUUGGCCUCCUAAUAAUAUCAAGUUGCAUAUUCCUGACAAAUUCCACGGUAAUUAGUACAACUUUGAACACCCAAUUCAAAAUUGUCCAUUCACUAGUAUGGUAUAUAAAACUAAAUUAAAUCAAGAAUCAAAGUUCAUGCACGAACGUGUUAGGAUGAAUCCAAGGCUUUUAUAAAAAUGAAUAUGAACAAUAAAUCAUGUUUCUAUUGGUUAGCACUGAUGUGCGUCUUUUGGGGGGCUAUGCCCCCCCCGCCUUGAUAUCAUUACUAAGGAAAAAAUAUUUUGGGAUCUUAAAUACAAGUGUAGUAAUUAGCCCCCCAAGCAUGCAUGUUUUCUCUUUAGCCCCCCCUGACAUCUUUGUCAAGCUCCGCCACUGCUGCCAUAGGGCCACUACUGGACACCUGUGGCGUAUCUACAUGCACGCUAGCAUGCAGCCUACCUUGCCCCUUUCAUUCGUGUAGUUGUGCAAUACCAUAACGCUAUGGUUUGGCUUAGCGUCGUCGCGUUAUCGCUGUCUGCAGUGCGGUGCAUUGCUUAGCCAAUGCCCUUCUCUUUUGUGCUUGUCAUAUGGUCCUAGUGUUAGGUAUAGUAUUCAAAGUAACAGACUACGAUGUCACAUUGAAACGUAGGUGUCAAUCAUUCAGUUAUCGUUUUGCUAGAUCAAAUAGCCUCCACUAUCUAUGUUCCUUCGAUGGCCUUGAUUGCCCCGUGCUUGAUUACUACUGUAACAACAUAGUCAUUUUUACCGCGUAUUAUUCCUGACCCCGCUACCUAUAUAACCAGUUGGGUUGUGGCUAGGGUUCAUCAUUCCAUGUUUCCCAAUUUUGCCUCUGUGACAAGACAUAUUACUCUAUAUUCAUACAUAAAUCUGCCAGCUUCAUCCGGCCUUGUUGGGAAACAUAGUAGAAAAAGCAAAAAAAAUUCGCCCUACGAUCACCCAGGAACAAUAUGAAGAUGCAUAACGGGUUGUGAUCAACGAUCGUUACUGACCCCGGGAGUGCAGCGAAAGUAGACGAGUCGGUGUAGAUUGUACCUGGAGUCUCUUGAACGUUGAUGACGAUUCCGCGAACCGCCUCGAACGAUCCCUUGAACAGAAGACCGAAAGCACGGCCUCUCUACUUGGUUGCAAGCAUACGGUCUUCACGAUCUGGCAGCGCUUCGCUGUCCAGAGCUAAUCGUCGACGGAGAAUUAGAGGGAGGAGUUUAGAACCACACGGGGCUUCUAAUUAUGAGGAUUAGAGGUGGCUAGGGCUCGCUCUAAUUAGUCAACUAGGAUCAACUAGAACGUGCACUAGAUCAACUAGAGGAGGCUCCAAAACUUGUGUCCCAAUAGGGAGAAAUUCUCUAGUAUAUAUAGGUUAGGAGGGGAGGAGAGGGCAGCCACAAAGGGAGGAAAGCCUCCCUUGGUGCGCUAGCCAUGGGGGGAGUCCAACUCCCACCCCAACUAGGAUUCGUAUUUGGGGGGGGGGGGGCGCCACCUCCACUUGGGCCUUCAUAGCCCAAGUUUCCUUCCACCUAUUGUCUUUAUUAGGCCCAUUGAUAUUAAAUUAAAUAUAUAUUUGUUCUAAACAUUUUCAGACCAUUAUAUAUAAAAUUUAACAUCCCCGGAAACAUUUCCCACCUAUAUAUAUUAAUCGGUAAUACCUGGUAUUACCCGAUAUUCACCGAAACCCUUCCGGUGACCCCGAAACGCUUCCGGAACCUCUCGGAACUAUUCUGCGCUUCCGGAACCUCUUGGAACUAUUCUGGAUACUAAUGAAACAGUUCCAUAAAUAUAUUCUCAUCACUCCCGUCCUAUUAACACUCAGCAGAUUGUGAUUACUUUAAGCUUCUGAACCCGUAGGUUCGGUAAACCAUAGACAUGAACGAAACCCUUCAUUCAAUGGCCGAUAGCGGAACCGUGGACAUCCAUAUCGGUCCCUAUGAUUACAUGAAUGAUAUUCGAGUGAACCUUUGGUUAUCAUGUAAUGUUCCCUUUGCUUCGCGAUACUUUACAAAACCCGGUGUGCAUCAGUAUCCUCCCGAGUCAACACCAUGCUCACUAAACCGUUGCUCCCGUUACCGGUUUUGUUCUUCUUUCUUGUUGACGUGUUCCGACAUCCCCGUGAUGUAGUCACCUGUGUCUGCCAGACGACGAUGGAUGCCGUCACACCGAGAGGGCCCUAAGAAUAUCUCUCCAUCGUCGGAGGAGCAAAUCCCACUCUCGAGCUGUCCGGUCACUUGUCAAACUUUUCGGUGUGCCUGAAAGUUGUUGUUAUGAUCACCUUGUUACAGAUGACGUUUGAGCAACCCCAAAGCCCACAGUCGAAGUGACCGAGACACUUAUGGUCUGAGGAACUAAAACUCAUGCUAACAAUUCGUGUUAUAACAGAUGAUUUUAGACGAUAUAAUCACAUAGUAUAACAGACAAGUAUUGGGUCGAUUCAAUAUGAUCGUUCUUCUAACGUCAUACCCUCAAUGUUGUUUUAGGACUAUCAUUACACUUAACGAUAUCCCAAGAUCCGGAAAACGUGAUCACCACCAACACUUGAGCCAGUCUUAGAGGCGAGACCCGGAACCUAUUGUUACCGUUUAUCAUUCCACACGUGCAUAUGAGUUUUUCACUGAAUCGCAUAUUCCAGGAUCAUAGCAGUUAUAGCAUGAAAUAUAAACUCUUAACUAUGAAUAUGGAAAUAUAAUAAUACAAUAUUGUUGCCUCUAGGGCAUAUUUCCAACAGUCUCCCACUUGCACUAGAGUUAAUAAUCUUGUUAGCACUUUUAACUUUUACACCAAUGGCAUUCUGGUGUCAGUCCAUGCUUUGCUUGUGGUAUAGACGUCGUCUAUCGAAUCUGAUAACUUCAUCCACGUGUAUCAUUUGCAUUUCUAUGCAUCUAUCAUGCUUCCAUAUGAAUUCAUAAUUUGUGUGAAACCGGCUUUAUAUAUAUUGAAUCACUGGUAGAACCUUUGAUUCAUUAGACUGAGUUAUGGAAGCACUAUUAAGAAUAGUGUUCCAGUGAUACAAUCAUCUAGAAACCAUACCAAGCUCAUGAAUGAACUUCCGAUUCAUCACCCUUCAUUUUUGCUUCUAAAGCAAUAAUAUACUUAGCCUUCUGUUAUAGAAUUCACCAUAGUAACUUUUUGGACCAAUUCCAACUUACUAUGCCACCAUAAAUCACUUUUAAUUUGAAAUAAAAAAAUCACUUGGAGCACAGAUGAAGAUUUUAUCGAUAUACUAUUUACAACGAGCCUUCAUUGAUGUAACUCCUUACAACGAUCUCUUCAUUUUCUUCGUGUGUGAGAAAAUGUCAUUAAUCCUUAACGACAUUUUUCAUUUUUGUCCUAUGAUCAACAAUUUGACCAUACUAGUAACUUUUACUUACAAUUAACUUGGGAGUAUUGGAAAUAUUUGAUUGUUUACAUACAUGGAAUACAAGUGUAGUUGAAAUCAUAUUUUGCUCAUUAGUAUUUCAGGAUACCGACUCCUUCCAUGUGACAUUGACAAGAAACUCUUCUUGACAUUUUACAUACUAAGCCGCUUUAGUAUUCUGUCAAUAUGUAUCUUGGCUAAGUCUGAUUAGACACUAUUAUCUCCAUAGGUCAUUAUGUCUAAUACCAAGACUAUUCAUGGCCUAAGUAUUUUACUGAAAAACUAGUUUCAGUAAAGUCAAUCUGUGUCAAGAAAUUUACAUAUCUUCCAAUCAACAAUAUGUCAUAUACAUAUAAUGUUUUGAAAUAUUAUCAUGCUCCCACUUACUUUCUUGUAAAUACAAGCAUCUUCGCUUUACUCGAUGAAAUCAAUUUAUUUGACCAUUUCAUCAGUACGAAGAUUCCAACUCCACUCUGCUUGCUUCAGAUCAUUAUAGGACCUCUUGAAGUUUGCAUACUUACUAGCAUCCUUUGGAUCGACAAAAUUACCUUGGAUCGUAUCAAACAUGCAACCUUGGUUCUAUUUUCAUCUCAUGGGUAUCAUUUUGACAUCCAUCUGUUUUAUCUCAUAAUUGAACUAUUUAAUAAUUGCUAGUUUAACCCGAACUGACUUUAAGCAUUACAGUAUUACUAUGAUGAGACAAUCUCGUCAUAGUCAAUUCUUUGAUCUUGUCAUAAACUAUUUGUAGCAGGUCAAGUAUUGUAAAACAUCUUUAUCUUUGUCAGUUUAUAGAUCCAUUAGUAUUCUUUAGACUCUAAGUCUUUCGAAGGGUUCAUCAAGUUCUAAGCUUGAAUUAUAUGAAUGGAUACUAUCUCGGAUUAUGUUGGCAUAUAGCCAAUUUUCGGAGUCAGGGCCCAUCAACGCUUCUUUGUGAUUUAUAGGUUCAUUGUUUGCCCAACAAUAUUUCGUCUGCAUACCACAAAGGUCUGCAUGAAUUUUCCCAACCUAUAUAGUUCAGCUGCAAGUUCGACCGUAGUCUCUAUAUCUCAUGUAGAGGCUUUCGUAUCCGUCGCAGUAAGAAAUUAUAGAAUUACUUCCAGUGUUUCUUUUCUUUGAGCUGAUUACGAAGAUUCCAUAAUCUUGUCGAGUUGCACUGUCCCCCAUUCACUCUUUUGUAGAAAACAUUUUCUUCAAAACUUUCGCACUCUGUGGCAACACUUUGCCUCGGCGUAGUGAUAGAGGAAUACCCAACUAUUUGGGAUAACCUACAAAGUAGCACUUAUUUCAAUAAAUUUGAUGGCGCUCCUUUUUCAGUGUAAAAGCCACAGUCUCUAAAGCAUCACUUUGAAUCAUCUUUGAUCUCACCAUGUCAUACAUAGUUUGAUUGCAUCUACUCAAAACAAUCUACUCUCAGUAGUGUUUCUAGGAGGUGCAACCUAUACAAUUCGUUUAUAGCUCAUCAGACAUUUGCUAAAUUUGUAACUUAAAUAUUCUUUUCUGCAAUCCAAUUGUAGAAACAUAAUUUUCUUGUUACAAUAAUUUCUACUUCAUUCUGAAAACCUUUUGAAACACUUCAAAAGAUCCAGAUUUAUGUCUCAGUAAAUAUAAAUAUCUACUUGAGUCAUCUUGAAGAUAGAUAAAUCCACUGCUUGCAACAACACUUAUUGGAUUACAUACAUCGAUAUGCAUAUCUCCAAUUAUUUUUGUUGCUCGUUCUUUAUGGCCUGCGAACAACAUUUUAGUUUACUUCAUUAAUUGGACGAAACUUGCAAGUGUCAGAUGAUUCUCAAUCAGUUGACUUCAAAAUUCAUCACUAUGAAAUUUCUCCAUGCUGGUUUCUCCAAUGUGACUAAAUGCAGUGCCACACAGAUAUGGUAUUCUUUUAGUCUUGCGACAUUUAGCGUCUGUGUUAUGGAUGUUCAAUUUUAUUAUCGAUAUUCAUAAUAUACAUCUUAUUCACAAUAAGAGUAUGCCCUUUUGUUCAUAAUAUCGAACAACUAUUGUUCUGUCAUCAACAACCUCCUUCAUAACAUCGAACAACUAUUGUUCUGUCAUGAACAACCUCCUUGCAACUUCUAUGCAAUGGGCUAGAGUGUACAAAAACUCUAAAAUGAAUUAUGAUAAUAAAUACAGAGGAAAUACACUGAUAGAAAUACUGUAACCUUUUACAAUCCAUCAAAAUAUUUUAACCUCAUUAUAUGUUGGUCAUUUAGGCCGUUCGGAGUUUCUUUGCAAUGAUUGGCAAUAAUAUGCAAUCGAGUCGAUAUCCUUGUGAUUAACCUUUUAACCACAAUACCGAAGAAUUAGUGAUCAACAAAUUGAUCAUAUUUCCAAAGAAUUACACUUUACUUGACCAACCACCUUUACAUCUCAUAACUUGUAUGACAUUCAUACCUGAGCUGGACAUUCCGGUCUUCUUUUCUUUCUGCCUUUUACUUAUAGUUUUACUUCAAUAUUUCUUUUACUCUCAGAAGAAACAACAACUUUAAGAGUGGCAUGAGCCCUGAACUUCCCUAGGCGUGUGAGUCUCAUUACAUCCUUUGGUUCUGUUCUUUCUCUACAAGUUUUCACCGUCAACACAUGACUGGCUUUCUUCCGGAUCUUACACAUUUCAGUCUUAAACAUAGUUGAACACUUCUCUAGAAUUUGCAAACAGAACACUCCUUUAGAUAUCGCAUAUCUUUCUAGCCUUUGUUUUUGAAAACAAUUUUCAGUUCCAAGAAUAUCACAUAACUAUCCCAAACAUUAUGAAGUUCGGGUUUCUCGGAAGCAAGCAGACCGUAAUGCAAUUCUAGCUUUUGGACCGAAGGACGUGAGUCUCGUCACGAGUAGUAGGGCUUAUGGGAGCCAAUCAAGCAGGCAUACUAUGGGAGUUACAGGUCGGCAAUGAGAAUAGCAUAAUAGACGAUGCUGCGCACCACUCUGCUGGUGCAGUGCCAGGCUAUGUAGUCACAAUUCACAACAAUGUGCCCGUCGACUGCUUCGUGUGGCAAAUGCCGUCGAAUCACACCUCGAUCACUGCCUAACCUUACGUAGUUACUCCUGGGCUGCUGCCUUGUCGCUUAGCCACACUGGCUCGCACACGUUGACACUGUGACCUUUGCCAUAUGUGGGUGCCUUGCCUAGUUUGUGCCACCAUUUUAUGGAGUCUUGAGUCCUGAGCGGUUCAUGCACUCUGCUGCCAUAUCACAUGUGCGUCUGUUGUUGCCCAACUCAUCAAUGUGGCUAUCAAUGCAAUUGUGCUGUUUGGUCCUUGUUGCGAGCUCUGUUGCAGCAUCUUUGGGGCCAUUGUCCAUACAUGCUUGGGCUGGAGAUUACCCCCCUGUAAAAUGAGAAAAUCUAAAAUUUAACUCAGUCAAAACCUUCUUGGCCUCGGCUAGUUGGCAUUUUGACCAGGUUUUACAAAUGCUGCUUCAUAAUUAUAAAAGGUGUUCUAAAUGUGCAAUUUCCGACCAAGUUUUACAAAUGAGGUCUUAUGCAAGUAAUGGAAUCAUUGGCAUAUUCAGUACAAGCCAUUUAAAAGUAACUCUUAGCAUUUCGGGUUGGACAAAUGGCACAAAACCAAUUGCCCCGCAUUACACUAUAAAAUUGUGUAAUAGCUGUACAUGUGGCAUUUACAUUUACUUUUCAUUGCUUAGACCUUCUACCUGUAGCUAUGCAGUAAUGCCAGAAUUAAGUUGUUUCUAUGACAUAAGUUCCUCUUUGUGCUGCAAUCUAAUGCCAGGCAAAUCCUUUUAUCGUCGUUUUUCUUUCCGGGCUCAUUCGGUUUGGAGGAAAUUUUGGAGGAUUCCUAUGGGAUUUUCUUCAUAUGUUUAGCAUUCGUUUCAUAGGAAUAGAAGUACUUGAUUCCUUAGGAUUGUGUCCGUCCAUAUUGACCUGAUUCCUUAGGAUUCUUAGUAUUUGGUAAGACCUCAUUGAAAAUUCCGAAGGAUUAGAGAGCACGGUAAUCCUGAUGAGUAGGAUCCAGAGGAACUCAGGCAGAAGUACUGCGUCCUUGAUUGGGUCGCACAUGUCAACUGGUUUUUCAGAGACCUAAAAGGGCGAAGCCCUGGUGGUUUCAUAGGUAUUUAUGAUGUUCCCCACUUCAUCAAGACAUUAAAAUAUGAUGUCCGUAUUGCUACGAGCGUUCCAGAUAUCAUUACAAACGGAAAAA